GAUGAACGCUGGCGGCGUGCUUAACACAUGCAAGUCGAACGGGAUCCCAGGAGCUUGCUCCUGGGUGAGAGUGGCGAACGGGUGAGUAAUGCGUGACCGACCUGCCCCAUACACCGGAAUAGCUCCUGGAAACGGGUGGUAAUGCCGGAUGCUCCGACAUGACGCAUGUCGUGUUGGGAAAGAUUCAUCGGUAUGGGAUGGGGUCGCGUCCUAUCAGCUUGAUGGCGGGGUAACGGCCCACCAUGGCUUCGACGGGUAGCCGGCCUGAGAGGGCGACCGGCCACAUUGGGACUGAGAUACGGCCCAGACUCCUACGGGAGGCAGCAGUGGGGAAUAUUGCACAAUGGGCGCAAGCCUGAUGCAGCGACGCCGCGUGCGGGAUGACGGCCUUCGGGUUGUAAACCGCUUUUGACUGGGAGCAAGCCCUUCGGGGUGAGUGUAC
rnacentral:rRNA from 1 species